GGCACUAUAGUGUAGUGGUUUAUCACUUGGGAUUUUGAACGUCGGAGGGCGGUCGAUCUCCCCCUUGGUCGACUGGCCUCCGGUGGAUCUUCCCAAAACCCAGGUUCGAACCCUGGUAGUGCCU